rnacentral:rRNA from 1 species
AACGAACGCUGGCGGCAUGCCUAACACAUGCAAGUCGAACGAGACCUUCGGGUCUAGUGGCGCACGGGUGCGUAACGCGUGGGAAUCUACCCUCAGGUUCGGAAUAACUCAGAGAAAUUUGAGCUAAUACCGGAUGAUGACGUAAGUCCAAAGAUUUAUCGCCUGAGGAUGAGCCCGCGUAGGAUUAGGUAGUUGGUGAGGUAAAGGCUCACCAAGCCGGCGAUCCUUAGCUGGUCUGAGAGGAUGAUCAGCCACACUGGGACUGAGACACGGCCCAGACUCCUACGGGAGGCAGCAGUGGGGAAUAUUGGACACUGGGCGCAAGCCUGAUCCAGCAAUGCCGCGUGAGUGAUGAAGGCCUUAGGGUUGUAAAGCUCUUUUACCCGAGAUGAUAAUGACAGUACCGGGAGAAUAAGCUCCGGCUAACUCCGUG